CCUACGGGGGGCUGCAGUGGGGAAUAUUGGACAAUGGGGGCAACCCUGAUCCAGCCAUGCCGCGUGUGUGAAGAAGGCCCUCGGGUUGUAAAGCACUUUCAGUGAGGAAGAACACCUGGUGGUUAAUACCCAUCAGGAAAGACAUCACUCACAGAAGAAGCACCGGCUAACUCCGUGCCAGCAGCCGCGGUAAUACGGAGGGUGCGAGCGUUAAUCGGAAUUACUGGGCGUAAAGCGCGCGUAGGUGGCUUGAUAAGCCGGUUGUGAAAGCCCCGGGCUCAACCUGGGAACGGCAUCCGGAACUGUCAAGCUAGAGUGCAGGAGAGGAAGGUAGAAUUCCCGGUGUAGCGGUGAAAUGCGUAGAGAUCGGGAGGAAUACCAGUGGCGAAGGCGGCCUUCUGGACUGACACUGACACUGAGGUGCGAAAGCGUGGGUAGCAAACAGGAUUAGAUACCCGAGUAGUC
rnacentral:rRNA from 1 species